rnacentral:lncRNA from 1 species
AUGUCAGAGAAUGUUUUGCCUCUGUUCUCUUCCAGGAGUUUGAUGGUGUCUUGUCUUCUAUUUAAGUCUUUCAGCCAUUCUGAGUUUAUUUUCGUGCAUGGUGUGAGGGUGUGUUCUAGUUUCACUGAUUUUCAUGCAGCUGUCCAGGUUUCCCAGCAAUUCUUGCUGAAUAAACUGUCUUUUCCCCAUUUUAUGUUCUUACCUCCCUUGUGAAAGAUUAAUGGACCAUAGGUGUCUGGGUUUAUUUCUGAGUUCUCUAUUCUGUGCCAUUGGUCUGUCUGUCUGUUUUGGUACCAGUACCACACUGUCUUGAUCCCUGUGGCUUUGUAAUAUUGCUUGAAGUCUGAAACAGUUUUGUCUCCUGCUUGGUUUUUGUUUCUCAGGAUUGCUUUGGCAAUCCUGGGUCUUUUGUGGUUCCAUAUAAAUUUGUAGAUUGUUUGUUCUAGUUCUGUGAAAAAUGUCAUGGGUAAUUUGAUAGAGAUUGCAUUGAAUCUGUAGAUUGCUUUGGGUAGUAUGACCAUUUUUACAAUAUUAAUUUUUCCAAUCCAGGAACAUGGAAUAUCUUUCAAUUUCUUUACAUCUUCUUUAAUUUCCUUGAUUAAUGUUUUAUAGUUCUCAGCAUAUAAAUCUCUCACCUCCUUGGUCAGGUGUAUUCCCAGAUAUCUGAUUUUUUGGAGUGCAAUUUUAAAAGGUAUUGUAUCUCUGUAUUUCUUUUCUAAUAUUUCAUUGUUAGUAUACAGAAAUGUGACCAAUUUCUUAAUGUUAAUCUUAUAUCCUGCUACUUUGCUGAAUUUGUUGAUCAGUUCAAGUAGUUUUUGGGUUGAGUCCCUGGGGUGUUCUAUAUACAGUAUCAUGUCAUCUGCAUACAGUGACAGAUUUACCUCUUCUCUUCCUAUUUGGAUGCCUUUUAUUUCUUUUGUUUGUCUGAUUGCUUGUGGCUAGGAUUUCCAAUAUUAUGUUGAAUAGCAGUAGUGAGAGUGGGCAUUCCUGCCUUGUUCCAGAUUUUAGUGGGAGGGCUUUCAAUUUUUCUCCAUUGAGUAUUAUAUUUGCUGUGGGUUUGUCAUAAAUGGCUUUGAUUAUGUUAAGGAAUGUUCGCUCUAUGCCCACUUUGGUGAGUUUUGAUCAUAAAUGGAUGUUGGACUUUGUCAGAUGCUUUUUCUGCAUCUAUUGAGAUAAUCAUAUGGUUUUUUACUUUUCUUUUAUUAAUGUGGUGUAUGAUGUUGAUUGAUUUGUGUAUGUUGAACCAUCCUUUUGAACCUGGGAUGAAUCCCACCUGGUCGUGGUGUACGAUCUUUUUGAUAGGUUGUUGCAUUCGGUUGGCCAAAAUUUCAUUGAGAAUUUUUGCGUCUAUAUUCAUCAGACAUAUUGGCUGAUAGUUUUCUUUUUUGGCGGUAUCUUUGGUUUUGGAAUUAGAGUGAUGGUGGCAUCAUAUAAUGUCUUUGGGAGUGUGCCUUCUUCUUGAACCUUUUGAAAAAGUUUAAGGAGGAUGGGUAUAAGUUCCUCUUUGUAUAUUUGGUAGAAUUCAGCUGUGAAGCCAUCUGGUCCUGGACUUUUAUUUGUAGGGAGUGUUUUUAUGAUGUAUUCAAUUUAAUUUCUAGUGAUGGGUCUGUUCAGUUGGUCUGUUUCUUCUUGAUUCCGUUUUGGCAGGCUAUGAGACUCUAGAAAGUUGUCCAUUUCUUCCAGACUAUCAAAUUUGUUGGCAUAUAAUUGUUCAUAGUAUUCUCUUAUUUUUUUUUUGUAUUUCUGCAGUAUCUGUUGUGAUUUCUCAUUUUUCAUUUCUUAUUUUGUUUAUUUGGGUUUUCCUCUUUUCUUAGUGAGUCUAGCUAGAGGUUUGUCAAUUUUGUUUACCUUUUAAAAGAAUAAGCUCUUGGUUUGAUUGUUUUUUUUUCUAUUGUUUUUUGAAUCUCUAUUUUAUUGAUUUCCUCUUUCAUCUUUAUGAUCUCCUUCCUUCUGCUGACUUUAGGGGGUUUUUUGUUCUUCUUUUUCUAAUUCAUUUAGGCGGUGGGUUAAGUUGUCAAUUUGAGAUCUCUCUUCUUUUUUGAGGAAGGCCUGUAUUGCUAUGAAUUUCCCUCUGAGCACUGCUUUUGCAGCAUCCCAUAGAUUUUGAGAGCUUGUGUCUUCUUAUCAUUUGCCUCGAGGUAUUUUUUAAUUUCUUUCUCAAUUUCCUCAUUGACCCAUUGGUUUUUUAGUAGCAUGUUGUUUAGUCUCCAUGUAGUAGGUUUUUUCUCAUUUCUUUUCCUGUGGUUGGUUUCUAGUUUCAUGCCAUUGUGGUCAGAGAAGAUACUUGAAAUAAUUCCUAUACUCUUAAAUUUGUUGAGGUUAGCUUUGUGCCCCAACAUGUGAUAAAUUCUUGAGAAUGUUCCAUGCAUACUUGAGAAGAAUGUGUAUUCUGAUUUUUUUGGAUGUAAUGUCCUGAAAAUGUCAGUUAAGUCUAACUUUUCCAUUGUUUCCUUUAGGAUCUCUGUUGCUUUAUUGGUUUUCUGUCUAGAGGAUCUGUCCAUUGAUGUGUGUGGGGUAUUAAAGUCUCCUACUAUGAUUGUAUUCCCAUCAAUUUCUCUUUUUAUUUCUGUUAAUAUUUGUUGUAUGUAUCUGGGUGCUCCUAUAUUUGGGGAAAAUAUGUUGAUGAUUGUAAUAUCCUCUUCUUGAAUGGAUCUUUUUACCAUUAAAUAGUGUCCUUUGUCUUUCUUUACGGCCUUCAUUUUAAAGUCUAUUUUGACUGAUAUGAGUAUUGCUACCCCUGUUUUCCUGUCUUGUCCAUUGGCAUGAAAUAUCUUUUCCCACCCCCUUGCUUUCAAUCUAUAUGUGUCCUUUGUCCUAAGGUGAGUUUCUUGUAGGCAGCAGAUUGAAGGUUUAUGCUUUUUUAUCCAGUCAGCCACUUUGUGUCUUUUGACUGGAGCAUUCAGUCCAUUGACAUUUAAGGUGAUAAUUGAUAGAUGACUAUUUAUUACCAUUUUAAACCUCAUUUUCCAGUUGAUUCUAUGAUUCUCCAUUCUUCCUUUCUUUUUUUGGUUGGAUGGUCUCCAAUUAUUUUCUGCUUGAGUACUUUUUUUUUUUCAUUUUUUGUGAAUGUAAUUUUUGGUUUUGAUUUGUGCUUGUCCUCUUUUUUAAGUAUGUUAACCCCUUCCUAUAAUUGUGUGUUUUAGCCUGACAGUCCUGUAGGUU